rnacentral:rRNA from 1 species
UAGCGUAAUCACUUGUUCUUUAAUUGAGGACUAGUAUGAACGGCCCCACGAGGACUACACUGUCUCCUUUUUCUAAUCAAUGAAACUGAUCUCCUCGUGAAGAAGCGAGGAUGAUUAUAUAAGACGAGAAGACCCUAUGGAGCUUUAAACAACCGGGGUACUUGCUAAUUCAUUUUAUAUCUUCUGAAAACUAAACAAAUUAAAGCAUCUUACCACCAAGUUUUAGGUUGGGGUGACCACGGAGAAAAAAUUAACCUCCACGCUGUAAGAAAUCCACCAUCUUCUAAGCUUAGAGCCACAUUUCCAAGCAUCAACAUAUUGACUUCCAUUGACCCAAUAAUUUGAUCAACGAACCAAGUUACCCUAGGGAUAACAGCGCAAUCUACUUUAAGAGCUCAUAUCGACAAGUAGGUUUACGACCUCGAUGUU